AUGCACAGGACCCUAGGCCUGGCUCAGAGGGGCUGGGAGCGCCCACUGCAACCCCAUCCUUCCCUGGACAGACCCCCACCUGCGAGGAACGUGCGCCUGCAGAUCCUGCCGGAUGGAGACAUUCACAAAGGAACGCCUUCCCAGCCCAGACAUUGGCAGAGACAGAGGGCCUUGAAUGCCACGGAAAGGGCCUUCAUCCCACAGGCAGUUGGGAGCCAGAAGCCUGAUCAGAUCUGGGUUUCAGCAAGUUGCAGUGUGAACACAUGGAAGAGUCUGGUUGGGAGACGUCUGGGUGGCUCAGUGGUUGAGCAUCUGCCUUGGGCUCAGGGCCUGAUCCCCGGGUCCUAGGAUCAAGUUCUGCAUCAACCUCCCCAGAGGGUGCCCGCUUCUCCCUCUGUCUAUAUCUCUGCCUCUCUCUGUGUCUCUCAUGAAUAAUUAAUAAAAUCUUAAAAAAAAAAAAAAGUCUGGUUGGGGGCAGGAAGCCCAGUAAGUUUGCACUACUAUCUGUGAAGGGGCAUUGGGGUCUGGGCUGGGUGGGACUGUGAGGCUGUAGAGUGGAUGGUGGCUGGGCCCCGGGCAAGCCAAGCCUCUGGCACUCACCGGGGGAUGGCUCAUACUACCGUGGGCCUUUGAGGCCCCUGGCCCUUUCCUUGGAGGCCCAGUGGAGCUGGUGCUGCUCAGCUUCCCAGAAGCCCUUUGUGGACAAUGGCUUGCCUCACCCCCCACCCCCACCCCACUCUGGCCACUCAUACUGCCAAGGAGACACCUGAGCUCCAGUCGCAGCAGGCACAGGAUGACACACAGCUGUGUCCCCAGGAUGCCCCACUUGCUAGCCUGAAACUGACCUGUAACUGCAGCUCUCAGAGCCUUCCGGAACCCAGAUCCCCACCUGAGAUUGAACCAAAGACCUGGUUUAAGGUCCCUGAUUUGGCUUGCAGCCUCCCACUGUUGCCCCACUUCGCUGGGCAUCCUUGAGAGACUUUGGAGAUCCUCCUUCAGCCUCGCCCUGACCCACCC
rnacentral:lncRNA from 1 species